UUUGCUUGGGUAAGCACAUUUUUAGCUGUGUUCCAAGGUUGAUGUUGUUUCUCUCGGUAAAACCGAACCUUUUCCUCGCCAGCGAGGAUCUGCGCUAAGGGUAAAAGCAGAGAAAUCAGGAUCUUCAGGUUGACUACACAAGGAUUUUAAAUCACCUUGUCAACUGGAAACUGAAAAAUUUGUCAGUCCUGUUUUUCCUGUACUUUGUCUUUUACUGAGGACUGUUAUCAUGGAUUACACUAACAUGUGACUGGAAAAGAACAUGGAACAUCUGGAGAUGAUGAAGCAUUUCGGUGCGACCAUACUCAGCUGCAGCUUAUGGCUCAACUAGCGUGCUUCGGAUCAAGAUGGCUUCUGCCCCACCCUCGCCCCUUGCCAGCUCUGAAGAGAAGACAAAUGGAUGGAAGCUUAGUAGGCUUCUAAUAGAUGGAGGAACAACAGUUCUUAGGGAUCUUUUUGAUCAAAUUCAUCCCCCAAGAACCCUGAGGAAAAGCCUUGACAGUCACAAAACCACAUUAGAAGAACUCUUAAAUGAGGGAGUUUUAUACACAUCUCAGUGGGAAACGCUAUUUCCUCGUUCCGGUGCUCCUCCUGUUGACUCUAGAAACUUCGACAACUCUCUUCUGUUUCUUCUCCUCACCACAAUUUGUGGACUCUCCCGUCCCCGUUCAGGAUGGCACCAGAAACCACAAAAAAAGGAUCGUUCUCGUGAGGCAAACCUGGCUCGCAUUAAAUUUUACAGAAAUAAGAUAUAUGGUCACGUCACUACCACAGGGAUUGAUGCCACAACUUUCACUGAUCUGUGGAAGGAAAUUAGCGCCGCUCUUCGUAGUCUUGGGUUGCAGCCAACAGAUAUCGAUAGAUUGAAGGAAGAACGUUGUGGAGUGGAAGACUAUAUUGCUUUGCUUUUUAAGUGGAAGGAAAGUGAAGAGAAUAUCAAGUCACAGUUGCAAAGGAUAGAUCACGCCCAAACUAACUUGCAAAAAUCUGUCGAUGGUGUUCGUCAGACCCAAUUGUAAGAUCACGAAACUAUUCAAGAAAACACACGAAAGUUGGAUGAAGUUCAUCAAUUGCAGGAAGACUUGCAAAAAACUGUUGAUGAUGUAAACCAGAGCCAACUCAGUGGUCAUGAGGGUCUCCAGGAAAACAAGGCGAAGUUGGAAGACAUACACCUCACCCAAUUAGAAGGUAAUCGAAUUCUUCACGAGAGUCAAACGAUGCUUGGAGAGGUUCGUGAUAAUGUUAAAGACUUGAAAGGUGAAAGAGAAGGCCUGAAGGGUGAAGAAGUCCUCUCAAAACUUGCAAAGAUUGACUCUUUCUCUGACAUCAGACGCCAUGCCAACAGAUAUGUGCAGGGAACUCGUUUGCCGAUAUUUGAAGAAAUUGAGAGAUGGUUAGAUGACAUUGGUUCACCAAACCGUGUGAUGGUCAUCAGUGGGAAUGCUGGGAUGGGAAAGUCUGUUAUCUCAGCUGUAUUCUGUGAAAAGAUGCUUAAAGCUGGAAGAUUGUCAGGAUGCCACUUCUGUCAGCAUAACAAGGCGCGCCGUAGA
rnacentral:misc_RNA from 1 species